AGUCUGGUGCCAGCAGCCGCGGUAAUUCCAGCUCCAAUAGUGUAUAUUAUGGUUGCUGUAGUUAAAACGCUCGUAGCUGGAUUUCGGAAUGCGUUCGACCAAAGCCCGUCUAAACGGCGUGGCUCGGUGGGUGCUUCCAUGUUUUUAGGUUUCCAACGGCGCUGUCACUUCGGUGGUGGCUGUCCGUUCCUAAUCGUUUACUGUGAACAAAUUAGAGCGUUCAAAGCAGGUGUCUCUGCCUUGAAUAGUUUAGCAUGGGAUAAUAGAAUAGGACCGUUACCGGUUUUAUUUUGUUGGUUUCUAAAGCUGGGGUAAUGAUUAAUAGGGACAGUUGGGGUCGGUCGUAUUGAAUCGUCAGAGGUGAAAUUCUAGGAUUGAUUCAAGACGAACUGAUGCGAAAGCGUCCGACAAGGAUGUUUCCGUUAAUCAAGAACGAAAGUUGGGGGAUCGAAGAUGAUCAGAUACCGUCGUAGUCCUAACCCUAAACGAUGUGGACCAAGGAUCCGAGGAUGUUACAUGGAUGACUCUCCGGGCACUUUGUGAGAAAUCAUUGAGUAUUUGCACUCCGGGGGGAGUAUGGCCGCAAGACUGAAACUUAAAGGAAUUGACGGAAGGGCACCACCAGGAGUGGAAUCUGCGGCUUAAUUCGACUCAACACGGGAAACUUCACCAGGUCCGGACACAGUAAGGAUUGGCAGAUUGAGAGCUCUUUCUUGAUUCUGUGGUUGGUGGUGCAUGGCCGUUUUUAGUUGGUGGAUUGAUUUGUCUUGAUAAUUCAGAUAACGAGCGAGACCUCAUCCUGCUAAUUAGUGAUGCGAACGUGGGCAUUCUUCGGAGUGUCCUCCUAGUUCGUGGGCAACUUCUUAGAGGGACUCUCGGCGUCUUUAGCCGAUGGAAGUCUGAGGCAAAAACAGGUCUGUGAUGCCCUUAGAUGUCCUGGGCUGCACGCGCGUUACACUGGCAGUUGCAACGAGUUCUUUCCUGCCUCGGAAGGGGUGGGUAAACUUUGUAGGGGCUGCCGUGAUUGGGAUUGAUCCUUGCAAUUAUUAUCAUGAACGAGGAAUUCCUAGUAAGCGCAGUUCAUCAAACUGUGCUGAUUACGUCCCUGCCCUUUGUACACACCGCCCGUCGCUUGUACCGAUUGAAUGGUCCGGUGAGGACUUAGGACUAGUGAUUUUAGCUUCCCGCAAGGGAGGCGGGUCGCUGGGAGUUUGUUCAAACCUUACCAUUUAGAGGAACAAGAAGU
rnacentral:rRNA from 1 species